CUGACGUUAGGAGUGGCGGGUGUCCUCACGGGUGCCCGUCACUUAGUUUGCCCUGCUUAGCGGGACAACUUGUGUUUAGCAAGAUGAGAUUGAGCGAUAACAGGUCCGUGAUGCCCUUAGAUGUUCUGGGCUGCACGCGUGCUACAAUGUGAGCAGCAGCGUGUUCUCGCCUUAUGGCGCCCCCAUUCCGAGAGGAACGGGAAAUCACCCAAAUGCUCAUUUAGUAGGGAUUGGGGACUGCAAUGGUCCCCAUGAACCUGGAAUUUCUAGUAAGUGCUAGUCAUUAGCUAGCGCUGAUUACGUCCCUGCCCUUUGUACACACCGCCCGUCGCUACUACCGAUGGAUUAUUUAGUGAGGUCUCUGGAGGCACACCUUCCGCGAUUCCUUCGUGAGUUGCAGUUGGCACGGCCGAAGUUGACCGAACUUGAUGAUUUAGAGGAAGUAAAAGUCGUAACAAGGUUUGCCGUAGGUGAACCUGCGGAAGGAUCAUUA
rnacentral:ncRNA from 1 species